rnacentral:sRNA from 1 species
ACAUCUAUAUAAUGUAUGGUUAGUGGUACAGCUGACAGCGAAAUUCUAGAUUAAUCCCACAGACUUUCAACUAUUGAUCUUGUGAUUUGAGUCUAAUGGUAGCCAAACAGAGCUGGAUGAGUCAAUGAAAAUUUUUAUAUACGAUACUCAAAAUGAGUAUUGUGGAUUUGUGGUGAAAAUGGAUGUGUGGAACGUCCAGAAGUUUCAUGGUCGGUUUUGCCAAUUGCAAAAUGUGAGUUCAAGGAUCUCAGAGUUCAGAUGUAACAGAACGUCUGGGCAAGGAGAGCUGUUUCCCGCCACAUUCAAUUCAAAAUAACCACAUGCGGUAUA